UCCUGCCACAUGCAAAAAUUCAAAUGAACUUCUGCCAAAUGCAAUUUCUUACAACCACAGUGCUUCUCAGUGAGACAUUAUCAUAAAAAUUAAAAUGACUCUAAGGUUAGUUCAUUCUUCUUUUUGUCCAGUCACAAGCAAUAAUAAUGCCUUAGACUCUUAGCAUUUAUAGAGUAGUAUCUUAUCCUAGGAUUAAUCAAUUUAGUUUGAAUUUAUUUUCAAUCAAGUUAUCUUAUAAUUUUAUCUUCUAUUUAUGUUUUAUACAAUUUACUGUUAUAUCUUUUGCCAACUUUGUUUACUUAACAAACUUUAUAGUCUGAGCUAGAAAUUAGUUGUGCACAGGAACUUACCAUAUGCUGAUAUCUGUGGUGAAAUUUCUUCAAUCGAUAUAGCCUUGAGAGCAGACGCUUGGAAAACACAGCCUCGGGUGUUUUUCGUGUCCCACGCAAC
rnacentral:lncRNA from 1 species